rnacentral:rRNA from 1 species
CCUACGGGCGGCUGCAGUCGAGAAUCAUUCACAAUGGGGGAAACCCUGAUGGUGCGACGCCGCGUGGGGGAAUGAAGGUCUUCGGAUUGUAAACCCCUGUCAUGUGGGAGCAAAUUAAAAAGAUAGUACCACAAGAGGAAGAGACGGCUAACUCUAUGCCAGCAGCCGCGGUAAUACAGAGGUCUCAAGCGUUGUUCGGAAUCACUGGGCGUAAGGCGUUCGUAGGCUGUUUCGUAAGUCGUGUGUGAAAGGCGCGGGCUCAACCCGCGGACGGCACAUGAUACUGCGAGACUAGAGUAAUGGAGGGGGAACCGGAAUUCUCGGUGUAGCAGUGAAAUGCGUAGAUAUCGAGAGGAACACUCGUGGCGAAGGCGGGUUCCUGGACAUUAACUGACGCUGAGGCACGAAGGCCAGGGGAGCGAAAGGGAUUAGAUACCCGAGUAGUC